UAAGAAACUAGUUAAGAUCAUAACAUAAGAAUGUCAUUCUUAAAUAACCAAAAGUGUUUUUUAA
rnacentral:tRNA from 1 species